UUGAGGUACACUAGUCGGAGAACGUAA
rnacentral:sRNA from 1 species